rnacentral:rRNA from 2 species
UUGAUCUCAAAUCAGGUAG